CCCCCUGCAUUGGAAAAACAAAAAGGAAAAACACAGUCCUCAGACGUUGAUUUGAGCUGCUCACCUUCACAUUCCCUAGAAACGGAAGGAUGUCGCUGCAACAUGAGGGAUGAAGAGGAAUUUGCACCUGGUCCACUUUGAAGCAGGUGGCAGUGACUGUCAGGCGCAGUGACAUGGGCCUCCUUAACCCCGGAAUACUCCUCUCCAUGUGUUGACAUGCAGCCCUAAAGGUAUAGUUGUCAGUUUGCCCUGUCCUCGAAUCACACAGCUAUUCAUCAUUGUUUGACAGGUGUGUUCGGAAAGAAAGACAUAGUGGCCUGGAUGACAUCAAUAUUGUCUGAGUGUAUACAAAAACACCACGAGGAAGUGUAGGUAUUUAGGGGGAAACAGCUAAAGUUUCAAUAAUAACCCCAUUUUACCCGUGAAAAUACGCAAAAUAAAGCCUGGGGUCUAUAA